rnacentral:rRNA from 1 species
UGGGGAAUUUUGGACAAUGGGCGCAAGCCUGAUCCAGCCAUGCCGCGUGCGGGAAGAAGGCCUUCGGGUUGUAAACCGCUUUUGUCAGGGAAGAAAUCUUCUGAGUUAAUACCUCGGGAGGAUGACGGUACCUGAAGAAUAAGCACCGGCUAACUACGUGCCAGCAGCCGCGGUAAUACGUAGGGUGCAAGCGUUAAUCGGAAUUACUGGGCGUAAAGCGUGCGCAGGCGGUUUUGUAAGACAGAGGUGAAAUCCCCGGGCUCAACCUGGGAACUGCCUUUGUGACUGCAAGGCUUGAGUGCGGCAGAGGGGGAUGGAAUUCCGCGUGUAGCAGUGAAAUGCGUAGAUAUGCGGAGGAACACCGAUGGCGAAGGCAAUCCCCUGGACCUGCACUGACGCUCAUGCACGAAAGCGUGGGGAGCAAACAGGAUUAGAUACCCUGGUAGUCCACGCCCUAAACGAUGUCAACUGGUUGUUGGGAAGGUUCCUUCUCAGUAACGUAGCUAACGCGUGAAGUUGACCGCCUGGGGAGUACGGCCGCAAGGUUGAAACUCAAAUGAAUUGACGGGGUCA